UACGUAGGGCGCAAGCGUUGUCCGGAAUUAUUGGGCGUAAAGAGCUCGUAGGCGGUUUGUCGCGUCGGCUGUGAAAACCUAAGGCUCAACCUCGGACUUGCAGUGGGUACGGGCAGACUAGAGUGUGGUAGGGGAGACUGGAAUUCCUGGUGUAGCGGUGGGAAUGCGCAGAUAUCAGGAGGAACAUCCGUGGCGAAGGCGGCUCUCUGGGACGGUACUGACGCUGAGACGCGAAAGCGUGGGGAGCGAACAGG
rnacentral:rRNA from 1 species